GGGAUUGGGCUAAGCAAACCCCUCCUACCAAAUGAACGCGGAGGGAUUUAUGGGGUUUCUGACUUCUUAGGGAUUUUCCUCUCAAACCCUUCCCAAUCCCCCCUAACCGGCCGUACCUGCGAGUCCCCCGUGCUCAAAUUGGGGGAUUUUCAGGUUAUAUAGCCUCAGCGGAGCGUCUCGGAGGAUGCGCAAGAAACGUUCGGGCGGCGGAAUGGACGCGACGGUGGACGAGCUGAGCGCGGCGUAUAAGGAGUUCGUGGCGGCUGCGGUGGCCGUGAUGGAAGCUCGCGAGCAGUCGGGCGGCCAGAAGACGGCAGCCACGGACACGGCGCUUGAAGCCUUCAAGCAACGCUGGGAGCUCUUCCGCGUGUCCUGCGACCACGCCGAGGAGCUCGUUGAGUCCAUCCGCCAGCGCAUCGGCUCCGAGUGCCUCGUCGACGAGGCCACGGGAUCUUCCUCUUCCUCCUCCGCGCCAGCAAGCGUCGCGCUGGCUGCCCCCGGCAUCAAGCCAAUCAGCGCCGUCCGCCUCGAGCAGAUGAGCAAGGCCGUCCGCUGGCUCGUUAUCGAGCUUCAGCACGGCGCCGGAGGGCCCUCAGCUGCGGGACCUGGCGGUGGCGUCUCAACCCCAGCUGCCGGCGCCGGAGGGCAUCAUGUGCACGGCGGGGUCGAAUCGCGCUUCCCCGAGGAUGGCACCCAGUAGGUGCUAUAAAGCUCUAUGAACUAGUACAAUGUUACCUGUUGGCCCAAUAUACUCUGAUAUGCCAUGCGGCCAGUUAUCUGAUCCUUAUUUUGGAAACAAAUGUUUGCCGUGGAGGCUGUUUGGUGUGACUUGAUUUUCCCAAUGUCUGGCGAAGUUGUUGUUGAUGACUCUGGGUGAAAGCCUUGGUUCGAUGGGGGUCGAAAGAUACCGGCGACGAUGCUUCUUGAAGGCGUCAUCGUAGAGUCCUCACACUUCUUCAGGUUGUGGGCAUUUUGGCGGUGACGUUUGAGUUGACGUCGGUAAGGGUUGCACGAUUGGGUUGCACGAUUGUGCUUUGUUCAAUCUUGUGUUGUAAGUUUUUUUGACCUAGUUUUUCUUAUAAACCGGGCCACUUUGUCUUCUUUCUUCUCUCUUAAUGAAAAUCGGCAGCGCUCCUGUCUUGCAUGCUAAAAGAACCAUACAAAAAAACAAGCUGCAUGCAAGUAUAUGUUCGUACAUCUGUAUUGAACAACAUGUGUUCCACUCA